ACUUCUGCGUCGGUGUAGGCUACACUAUAUUCUUCAAUGCACCUAACUUUAAUCAUGUGCAGAUAUUUCUAAUUGAGAAAAAACCAACUGGAUGUUUGGAUUAUUGGUAGACUGCGACUUAGGCGGAAAAUUGAAAGAUUUCCUAAAAAAAUAUUCCAAAAGAAAACUUGGGACUGAUUGAGCGCGCUCUGAGGUUGUCUGUGUAAUAUCUGCAGUCUAAAAGCAGGUAAGCCACUGACUAACGCACAUUGUGCCAGUUUCCAGUUCCACUGUGCGUGUGACAGCGGCUAACCUGGUUUUGGGAACACCUCUCAUAUUCUUUGACUCGUCCGAGGCCCAGCCAGAGCCGGAUCAGACAGACACCUGUUUACGGUCCUUGAUCGUGGCCCCGUGAGGACCGCCUGGACAUGAAUGCCCUCCCAGUGGUCUCCAUGUGUACUGUAACCUACUUCCUACUGUGUUCAUGCAGUACCUAAUUUAGGACCAUGUGGCGUUUGCACUCCCUCCUCUUUAAUGCCAUCAUUUGAGACUGCUGGUGAGUGUUUUGUUUCAGUUUCUGUUUCAUCUGAUGGGUUUGGAUCAUAUUCAUGUUCACUGGUUACCAAGUUGAGGUCAGGGGGGCCUCCAGGGGUUCUUCAGGAGGUUCCUUGGGGCCCAUAAGCAAAAAUGAACACUGCUAUAAAGAAACCCAGUUUCAGGACAGAAUGUCUAAUAUUAUAUAAUACAAUAUAAUAUAGUGAUUCCUCCACCCCAUAACUUCAUAUGACUAGAACCAGUUUAUUACUAAAUUCUAUAGAGCAACACAAAUGGUACCAUGUAAGAAAAUAUAAAUGGAUUGUAUAAUUACAGUAUGUGCAAUGUAUGCUUGUAAGUAUCCAAAGUAAAGUUUCUACUCAAAUCAA